rnacentral:lncRNA from 1 species
CACCAUGGGAAACUGAAACCAGGAAUUUAAUCUCAAAUUUCUGAAGACAUUCAGACUUAUCCAUUGUUCUAUGAAUCAGGAAUAUGUUAACAGAAGUUCUGGUUAUUGAAGAAUCUUCAGAAUGAAAAUCAAAUUAUGAAAUCCCCAGUUGUAAUAUUCCCACCAUGGGUGAAGUCUGCUGUCUGAUUGCUAGAAUUUUGGCCGAUGCCUUCUUGCACCUCUAUGAACCCGACUCCAGCCCCUCCCCUCUAAUUACUGCCCACAGUGAAGAGAGAAUUUCUGCCCACUCCCUGCAAGCCCAGGUUGGAAAUGUUUGAGGAGGCAUUUAUCAUGAAAGCCGUGGCCUUUGCUCCUAAAGCUUCGUCUCACAAGUACAAUAACAAAAACUGCUAAUUAAAAGAGGGAAAACAACCAGGAGUCAAACACAAAGGGGCAUCCCUGCCUCAUCAGCACAGAACAAUCGACCGGCUCCCUUCACUGCCCAUGCGAGGCUCCAUGUGAGGAAGCCUGCUCUGCCCUUCCAGGAAGCAGGUGUGGGAAUAGAAGGAGGCACCACUCAUCUUCUGCAGAAAAGCAAAAUGAAGACAUCAUCAGAGAGCAGCACUCAUUGGAAGUAGCUCCUCGGGUUCCCUUCUAAUGUCAGG